ensembl:lncRNA
CUGUGCCUUAAGAAGGGCUGUGAUUGUUCCUCCACUGCAGGUGGGUGAACAAUCACAGGUGAGUAGGGCGGAGACUCAAGAAGAGUCCAGCCCACAAUCAACACUACGCAUACACGCAAAAACAAAGGGAGAGAGAGAAAGAGCGAAACAAGGAGAAUCCACCAGGAGAACCAGGACCAUGAGACAGAGAAGCUUUAAAGACUGGAUGGUGCUACUGCUGUUUACCAGAUGGAGUUUUGCUAUCACCACCAGUCACUGUUGCCUGAACCGGUCAGUUGCUCUCAGGACCUGCAAAGGAAAGGACGCCCUUCUCCACCUACCUGCUCACUUCUCACUGCUGCUCACCCAUUCGCCUUGGACUUCCACUUGACAGCCAUUUACCCCUCCAGACCAUCUGUUCAAGAAACAAACAAAUACUGCAAGAUCCUAUUGAACUCACCUUGGCCUCUCUGCCAGUGCACCUGGUGAUAUUUGAAAGGUUAUCUUCUCUGGCUGCUUAUCUGCUCUCUGCUCAGUAUACAGUCGACACUCUGGUUUCUGAGUCCAGUUUGAGCUUAAAUCUGACAGAUCCUGUUUACAUAUUUUGUUUUUCUAUGCUUUUUGCAUUUGUCGAUGUAGUGACAAGUUAAGAGUGUUUGUGUAUAGUAACCUAGUAAUCUGUACCACUGAUAAGCGUGGUCUCCAACAAUAUGUGUUUUCAACAUGAUUGAGGGCUGUAAAUGACAAAAAGCUAAAGAUAUGAAAUGUCCCUGUGCGGCACAAGACGCUCAGAUGGACAGGCAAGUACGCUAUAAGGCCCGAAGUGUGAAAGCAAGCAGAACUAUAUUUUCUUUGAACAUCCAGUUUGCAUGUCUAAUCAUCAAUUGCAAAGUGGUUUCAAAAAAGCUUUCAGUCCCAUUGUGUCUGUUUCUGCAUUCACAUCAGGUGUGUGCAAUCAGGAAAAGAUUGUUCUGAAUUACACUUAAAUACUGACAAGACUGCACAACCAUACACACACACACACACACACACGUGUGCAGCAUUACAAUCCAGAAGAAGCCCAUCUUUGAUUGCUGCCUUUUUUUUGUCUUGUUGUUAUAAUUCAUUUAAGCAGGAGCCCAACAAGAUUCGAGGCUUCAUUAGGCAAAGCCUUCCUGUUUUCCAUCAGAAUGUAAUUGAAUGUACACAGAUAUCCGCCUGUAAACAACAUAACCUCUGAGGGUCUCCGUUACCACUUCCUUUAAUAAAAUCUGACAAUUCAUUAUGUUUGACUAAUGGCUCGUUGGAAUAGUUUCCUCGGGGCAAUUAAAUAAAUGUGAGCAGUGAGGUGUGACAUCAUGAAUUGUAUAGAUUUAACAAAAAAUGGAGACAUAUUGAGGCAAAUACAUUUUCUGCACUGUGUAAAAUGGCUUUCAUUUAGAGCAGAACAGUUUUGUAAGACUUGCAUUAUAAUGCAUGUUGAUGACAAAUAUUAGCUCAACAGAGAUUAGUAAUUAGAUAAUUUGCCGGUCAGUAAUAUGAGGUAAACUGUUUCAUGCAGCGUGUGCAAUGUGCAUGAUCACAGGGGUGUCUCGUUUACCUGGAGGAAAAGUUGUUCUAAUUUUUAAGAUGACUAGAAAUUGUUUCCUUUAGGACCAGGACCGCGUGAACAGCGUGCUUUACUGCUUCCUGAAGGCAUAUUCUUCUGAACUUUUUAUCUCCCAAUUAGGAGAUCACAGCAACAACAGGUAUGAAACAAAAAAAUUCAAAGAAAGACGUAGUUUAAGUAUUCAGGCGAGAUUACGCAUUAGCUUUGCAAAUAUUUGACCAAAAUUUGGAACGUGAAUCAAAGACAGUGCCCUGACUUCCCUGAGUCAGCAGAAGGCAAAAAAUAUCACUAAUUAAGAAAUGCCUCCCAAAAGAUAACAAAAGCCCGUGCAGCAAUGGAUGAUACAAGGAUUCUGAGCUUUGUAGAGCACUUUGUGCUUUUCUUUUUUAGCUUUUUUCUUCAGGCCUGUUAUUCUACUAAACUAUUUAAUCCUUGUUACAUGUGCAAAUUAUUCCACCUGUCUCUCCUCACACACACACAAACACACAAUAAACACCAGCAUCUCCACAGGUAAAUUAAACUCCAAUUUAAAAUAAUGAUAAUAAUGAAAAAAUUACAGAAAAGUCAGAAUUUUGAACUUUUUUUCUGAGGGUGUUUCCUCUCAUUUUAAGAAGAUGAUGGAUUUGUAGCUGUGUCUCAGACAGAGUUUUGUCAAAGAGGUUGGGUACAUCUGUGUAUCAUGUGUUGGUUACAGAAGUUGACAUGAAACUAUGGCGAGGCAAAUUAAAUGUAACUGAAAUCUGAAAGUGUCCUUGUUUAAUAAAAC